AGAACGAACGCUGGCGGCAUGCCUAAUACAUGCAAGUCGAACGAACUCUUCGGAGUUAGUGGCGCACGGGUGCGUAACGCGUGGGAAUCUGCCCCUUGGUUCGGAAUAACAGUUGGAAACGACUGCUAAUACCGGAUGAUGACGAAAGUCCAAAGAUUUAUCGCCAAGGGAUGAGCUCGCGUAGGAUUAGCUAGUUGGUGAGGUAAAGGCUCACCAAGGCAACGAUCCUUAGCUGGUCUGAGAGGAUGAUCAGCCACACUGGGACUGAGACACGGCCCAGACUCCUACGGGAGGCAGCAGUAGGGAAUAUUGGACAAUGGGCAAAGCCUGAUCCAGAACUAGCG
rnacentral:rRNA from 1 species